UGGCUCAGAACGAACGUUAGCGGCGCGCCUAACACAUGCAAGUCGUGCGAGAAAGGGCUUCGGCCCCGGUAAAGCGGCGCACGGGUGAGUAACACGUGGGUAACGUACCCCUUGGUGGUGGAUAACCUUCCGAAAGGAGGGCUAAUACAGCGUAAGACCACGGUCUCGCAAGGGACUGAGGUAAAAGUGGGCCUCUGUAUACAAGCUCACGCCAGGGGAUCGGCCCGCGGCCCAUCAGCUAGUUGGUAGGGUAAUGGCCUACCAAGGCAAAGACGGGUAGCUGGUCUGAGAGGAUGAUCAGCCACACUGGAACUGAGACACGGUCCAGACUCCUACGGGAGGCAGCAGUGGGGAAUCUUGCGCAAUGGACGAAAGUCUGACGCAGCGACGCCGCGUGAGUGAUGAAGGCCUUCGGGUUGUAAAGCUCUGUGGAGAGGGACGAAUAAGUCGGAGCGAAUAGCUCCGAUGAUGACGGUACCUCUUUAGCAAGCACCGGCUAACUCUGUGCCAGCAGCCGCGGUAA
rnacentral:rRNA from 1 species